UCGGGAGGGUUCAAGUCCCUUUAUCCCCAAAAGGCCCGUUUAACUCUCUA
rnacentral:tRNA from 1 species